rnacentral:lncRNA from 1 species
CCGUACCUAUGGGAAAGUCACUGCUGAACUGGUGACAUUUCUGUAUAUAUGUUGAGCACAGGGUCGGUCCCUGGAACAGAGCCGUUGCAUUGCAGUUGAACUUCUAGUAGCCAAGGCAAACCUCUGGACCCUCUGUGGUAGCACCAGGAUCCACCAACAGGCAACACAAGCUGAGGCCCGGAGGCUUCUGUGGGACCAUGUAUGAUUCCACUUCAUCUCCUGCAACCCUGUUGCUCUCCAAUAUGGCAAGAGGAGCAUUGGGUCUUCCUCCUUUGUUAAGACAUUUAUACCAGUUGAGCAAGAAGUCGGUGCUAGAGCGGCAGCAGCCGGUUUGGAGCGCAGUCUCUUCCUCAUGGAACCCUGGCCGGAUCACUGGUCUUCACCACCACUACCUAGUGCUUCCAAUGCGCCCUGGCUGUCUCUCCACACUCUCAAGGUCUUCUUCACUCAUCUUCUUGGCUGUGUGGAUCUGAAAACACACAGCGUUUGUCCGUAAUCUCAUCCUCAUCCACACUGACUGUGGAUAACCGGAUGUGUUUUGUGAGGCCCCUCAGUCUCAACAUGGUUUUACAGACUCGGUCCUAAGCAGAUAAAACAACUAAGCUUCACAGAGGUGAGGUAACUUCCUCUGCCAUCCAGGUGGAUGGUCAGGGUCAGGAGCCUCGUGAGUGAGAACAACAGGUCUGUCGAGUUCUGCAGGGCUGAGCUGUUUAUCAUUGCG